CGUAAAUACUCCUAUUGAAAGUGAGCAGCUGAUCGGUUCCGUUUUUCUUCGGAAAGAACUAUGGGAUCAAACGUCCAGAGGCUACCGGAACCGUGUUCUAGUGGACAAUAGUUGGAAGGAACUUGCUGAAGAGUUUAAUGUUCCUGAAGACUAUCUGAGGAAAAAAUGGAAAGGAUUACGCGAUACGUACGGUAAGAUUCUUCGUAAUCUACCAGUGUCUAGAUCCGGCGAUCCGGGAGGUGAAAACAAUGAUUCCAGUUGGCCGUUCUUUAAGUGUAUGGAGUUUUUAAGGAACCAAAUGAAGCCCCGAAAAACAUCCGGCAAUUUAAAGCAGCCCCAACCGACGCCAACUGUGGAAAAUCUUGAGGAAGGUGACCAAUACGGAGAAAUAGAAAUGCUGGAUGAAUCUGCUGCUGAAGUUCUUGAGUCGCAACCAGGGUGGUUUGAAGUGCCCUCGAGCUCUGCUGCUGCACCACCAUCUGCAAAAAAGAAGAAACACUCAAGGCACACUCAAUCUGCACGAAUGCUCGAGAUUGAGCAGAGGAAAUUGGAACUGCUUGAGAAAAAAACAGAGAGUGGUUUCAAUCGCGACGAAGACGAGAGCUUUUUUAACAGCUUGUUACCACAUGUUAAGAAACUGGACCCUGCAAAAAAGUUAAUCCUUCGGAUGGAGUUGCAGCAGGUCGUGUUCAAACAUGUGUACAAGGAUACACAACCAACACGAAGUGAAAGUGUCGAAAAUCCGCAUCAAGAAUCUGAAUAUGAUUUUGAAUCACCCCUUGAUUUUUCUCGAUUACAAUAAAAUGGAUAUGUGAUAACUGAAAA